AGUGAACGCUGGCGGUAGGCCUAACACAUGCAAGUCGAACGGCAGCACAGUAAGAGCUUGCUCUUACGGGUGGCGAGUGGCGGACGGGUGAGGAAUACAUCGGAAUCUACUUUUUCGUGGGGGAUAACGUAGGGAAACUUACGCUAAUACCGCAUACGACCUACGGGUGAAAGCAGGGGAUCUUCGGACCUUGCGCGAUUGAAUGAGCCGAUGUCGGAUUAGCUAGUUGGCGGGGUAAAGGCCCACCAAGGCGACGAUCCGUAGCUGGUCUGAGAGGAUGAUCAGCCACACUGGAACUGAGACACGGUCCAGACUCCUACGGGAGGCAGCAGUGGGGAAUAUUGGACAAUGGGCGCAAGCCUGAUCCAGCCAUACCGCGUGGGUGAAGAAGGCCUUCGGGUUGUAAAGCCCUUUUGUUGGGAAAGAAAAGCAGCAGGUUAAUACCCCGCUGUUCUGACGGUACCCAAAGAAUAAGCACCGACUAACUUCGUGC
rnacentral:rRNA from 1 species